rnacentral:tRNA from 1 species
AUUUAAAUAGUUUAACAAAAACAUUGGUCUUGUAAACCAAAAAUAAGAAAUCCAUUCUUUUUAAAUA